GAUGAACGCUGGCGGCGUGCCUAAUACAUGCAAGUCGAGCGAACGGACGAUAAUCUUGCUUCUCUGAUGUUAGCGGCGGACGUGUGAGUAACACGUGUAUCACCUCCCUAUCUUACUGAGAUCACUUCGGGAAACCGUAUCUUAUACCGUAUAAUCUUUUGAACCGCAUUGUUCAAAAGUGAAAUACGGUCUUUCUGUCACUUCUCGAUGGAUCCGCGCUGCAUUAGCUAGUUGUUAAGGUAACGGCUUACCAAGGCAACGAUGCAUAGACGAAGUGAGAGGGGGAUAGGCCACACUGGAACGGAGACACGGUCAAGACUACUAAGGGACGCAGCAGUAGGGAAUGGGACGCAAUGGGCGAAAGCAUGACGGAGCAACGCCGCGUGAGUGAUGAAGGUCUUCGGAGCGGAAAAAUGUGUUAUGAGGGAAGAACAGAUGUGGAAGGAAAUGUGGACAGCGUGACGGUAACGAAUAAGAAAGCAACGGCUAACUACGUG
rnacentral:rRNA from 1 species